GCUGCCCUGCGUGCACUAAUCACGUCACCGUUCCCUGAAAUAUUCAGUCUCACUACACCGAGUAAGCAGGAGUUUGCGGCACCGGCACAAUGGAAGAUAAAAAGCAGCCAAAACUACCACUGCCAGCUUUGCUGGUAACUGCUCGCCCUAAUAAAAAAACCUAGAAAAAGAAAAUCUGAGGCAGAAAAGGCUGCAACUAAACAGGUACUGGAUAAAGCCAGAGGACAAACUCGCGUAAACAUCGGUGGAGCAUUUGAAUGGUGGAGACAACUGAUGGAGCUGAAGGGCCUGAAAAGCGAUGCCGAGGUUGCGGUCUUUCUGCUGAACAGGUAAAUCACUGCCAAAGGAGUAGAUCACCACAGAAGACAACGCAUCAUGCAAAGCCUGACCUGUCAGCCAUCCAUGGACACUCAUUUUCUAACAUAUAUAUAUUUCAAAUUUAUUAUAUGUAAAUACAGAUUGUUUAUGACAAUCAAAAGCAACAAAAGGACAGAUAGUUGUUUAAAAAAGUAUUCCUCUUAGGUCUCUCUUGUUGUUGUUGUUGGUGUUGUUUUUUUAAUAAAACAAAAAGUGUUAUACCACAUUCAUUGUCAUUAUUCAUUUAGCAUGUAAGGAGGUAAGAAAAGUAAUAGCUUGUUUAUGCUAAAAUGAUAAAGGAAAGGCAUUUAUCAACUCAAAAUAUUUAUUCAAACAUGACAAAAUUUAAAUAAUAAUAUGACUGUACAUACUGUAUACAUUAGUGCAAA